GAACCCGCCGCCCUCCCACAAAGCGCUUUUGGGGUGCGCUCCCCCCAGCCCCUCCGGUGUUUGUGUCCGUCUGUGCACCCUCCUCUGCUGUCUGUCCGUCCAUUCAUCCCUCCAUCCAUCCAUCUCUCUCCAUCCCCUUGAACGCCUCCAUCCAUCUCUCUCCAUCCCCGCACGCCCCUCUCCAGCUCUCCACCAGUCCCUGUCCUCACCACGGGCUCAUUAAUGGGUUUUGUUAAUUAUGCUGCGGGCUCGGAGAGAGGCUCCGGGCAGGUCAGCGGCUGUGGACGGAGGGCUGAGGCUGGGGUGGGCUCACCUGGCUGCAGGGACAAGGCACAGCAUCCUGCAGGUACCGGUGACACCCCCAGGACCACGACCCCUGCCAGGUCUGUGCCAACCCCUCCGGGUGACAAAGGGAAGUUCCCAGCAGCGAGGAGGAGACGUUGCCAUGCCCGGAGCGGCAGCCACCUGCUCCUCUUUGUAAAGCCACCUGCUUCCCUUUGUAAAUCCACCCUCAGGUGUCAAACCCAUAAUGACAUCCUUAAUUUCCUAAAAAUCUCCCCGCGUGAUGCUCCCUCCGCUUAUUCAGCUUAUUCCAGGACAGCCCCGUCCUGAUCCUGCCCAGCCCCGGUCCCGUGGUGGUGAGUUGUUAAGCUGCGUGUAAGGGAGAGGGAGUUGGAAAUGUCACGGCCUUUCCCCAGCUCGGUUUGGCCCCCGCCUUGGUGUGUCAGCACCAGAAACGCUCUUUGUGGGGCUUCUUGGAAAAAAAGCAGUGGGUUUUGUGUGGCUUUGGUGAGGAGCUUUGUUGGAAACUGCCCAGAAACGCUGGCGCCAGGGGCGGCUCCUGGGGCUGGGACAAAAGAGGGGCUCCUUCACCCUACGACUCUGUCACCCUGCCCUAAAUGCCUUUACCUAGCACGGGAUGGAGCAGGGGGUGUCCUUUAUGGGGCCGGGGCUGCUGUGGGGCUGCAUUGGGAUGGGAACUUCGUCACGCUGAUGGGUUCAGGCUGGAAUUCCUCUUGAGCUACCGACCUGCCGAGGUGUGUGGGGUCAGCAGCUCCCGGCUCACCCCGCUCCAACGGGAAGGGCUCGGAGGAAAGUCCCUCUUUAAAUAGGAUUAAACCAAAGCCGCUGUUUGUUCUCCGGCACGGAGCUGUGGGAACACACGUGUGAGCCACAUGGCUAUGGGUUUGCCGGCCAGAAAGCCAUGCUGGGGACAGGUGGGGCCAGGGCAGCGCUCGCCAAAGUCAGGGUGUGGGGUAUGGGAGUGCUGCCCACCCAGCCGUGAGCUCAGCAUCCCUCUCUCUAUCCCGUGGUUUCAAUGCUUGGAAACGGGGCAAAGCUGCCUGCAGACAUCUGGUGAGGCUGGGGGGAGCAGCCCGGGUCUCUUGCAGUUUGCUUUGCCUUUGUUGCUUUGCUGCAGCGAGCCGGGCUGCUUCCUUGGGCCGUUUUACACAUCCCUCCAUCCCGGAGCGAUUUGGGGUCUGCCCCCCCUCCACAAUGGGAUGCACUCGCUGGGCUCUGGGGGCUCUGUUUGAGGGCGCAGCGUGUGCGCGAGGAGCUCCCCGACCCCAGCUCCGAGCGAGGGUGUUGCGGGAGGGUCUGACACCGUGGCACGAGUCACCCCGGAGAAAAAAAAAAACAAAAAAACACCAUCAGGGCGACACAAACCAGAGCCAGGCGGACAGAGACGGCCGCUCAGCUGGGCCGCAUCUGCACGAGGCUGGGCUGGCAGCCAGCGAAGAAAGGUUGUGGCCCUUCCCUGGCUCCACGCAAUGACAAAAAGCCUCUUAAAAGUCUGCUGUCGCCUCUCUGAAUUAAAACCAAAGGCUCCAGAAGUUUAUUCGCUCCGGGAUCGUCCUUUUGGCUGCCGGUGGGGGUUGCAGGACAGCCUCCAGUGAUGUCCUCCAAGUUUUACCGAGAGCCACAUCCACCCACGAUCAGCUCCGUGUACCAGCUCCUGGGACAGCUCGUGGCUGUUGGGAGAUCCAAAAUUGGGUCUUGGUGAUGCUCCUGGUCCUUCUUGGCCACGGUGGGUCGAUGCCACAU